rnacentral:rRNA from 1 species
GACGAACGCUGGCGGCGUGCUUAACACAUGCAAGUGGAGCGACGAACCGGGGCUUGCCCCGGGGCAGAGCCGCGAACGGGUGAGUAACACGUGGGUGUAUCUGCCCUGAUGAUCGGGACAACCCGUCGAAAGACGGGCUAAUACCGAAUGUGCCCGCAAGGGGAAAGGAGGCUUCGGCUUCCGCAUCGGGAUGAGCCCGCGGCCCAUUAGCUUGUUGGUGGGGUAAAGGCCUACCAAGGCGACGANGGGUAGCUGGUCUGAGAGGACGAUCAGCCACACUGGGACUGAGACACGGCCCAGACUCCUACGGGAGGCAGCAGUGGGGAAUCUUGCGCAAUGCGCGAAAGCGUGACGCAGCAACGCCGCGUGCGGGAAGACGGCCU